AUAGGGAGUCGGACCUGCCCAGUGAAUAAUUUUUUUAACGGCCGCGGUACUCUGACCGUGCAAAGGUAGCAUAAUCAUUUGCCCUAUAAUUGAGGGCUAGUAUGAAUGGUUUGACAAGAAUAAAGCUGUCUCCAUGUAAUUAUAUAGAAUUUUAUUUUUAGGUGAAGAAGCCUAAAUAUUAUUAAAAGACAAGAAGACCCUAUCGAGCUUGAAAGAAAUUAAUAAGUUAACAUAUAUAUUAUAUAAAAUUACAAUUAUUAAAAAUUUUGGUUGGGGCGACUAAGGAACAAAUAAAGCUUCUUUAAUAAAACUAAUUACAUACAAGUAUAGAUCCAAAAUAUUUUGAUCAAAGAAAUUAGUUACCGUAGGGAUAACAGCAUUAUCUUUUUUGAGAGUUCAUAUCGAAAAAAAGGUUUGUGACCUCGAUGUUGGACCAGAAUAUCCCAAAGAUGCAGAAGUCUUUAAAGGUUGGUCUGUUCGACCAUUAAAAUUCUA
rnacentral:rRNA from 1 species